UACGGGGGGAGCAAGCGUUGUUCGGAUUUACUGGGCGUAAAGGGCGCGUAGGCGGCCACCGCAAGUCAAUUGUGAAAUCUCCGGGCUUAACUCGGAAAGGUCAACUGAUACUGCGGGGCUAGAGUGCGGAAGGGGCAACUGGAAUUCUCGGUGUAGCGGUGAAAUGCGUAGAUAUCAAGAGGAACACCUGCGGCGAAGGCGGGUUGCUGGGCCGACACUGACGCUGAGGCGCGAAAGCCAGGGGAGCAAACGGG
rnacentral:rRNA from 1 species